rnacentral:lncRNA from 1 species
GCUCCCGCGCGGCGUUCGCGGCGGCUGGACGGCCACCCCCGGAGCGCGCCGCGACCCCGCUGAGGCCUGUUGGCCCGGUCCCGGUCGGUCCUGGGCUCCAGUCGCGGGCGGCGGCGGGCGGCGCGGCGGACUCCGCGCUGCGUGGGCUGCUAGCGGGACGGCCGCGCUCCAUGGCGACUCCGGCUCCGAUUUCCCCGGCGUGCACUGCAAAGGAGCGGGCGGCCGUGAGCCCCGGCCUCGCGGCCUCGCCCUCGCCCUCGAGUCCCCAGGUGCUGAGCUGCUCCUGAAGGCGCCCAGGGCUCAGGCUCCGGUCCCCGCUGACACACCCCGCCCGCCCGCCCGCCCGCCCGCCCGCCCGGGGAAACGGGGCUGCAGGACUCGGCCUCACCUCGGACUUGGCGUCACCUCACCUUUCCUCCCCCCACCGCAGCGGCCGUGCGGGGUUCGGCUGAGCAGGGCUAGGCGGCCAAGGGCGUCGAGCGGGUGGGUCACUCCAUCCUUGUCCAGGCUCUGCGCCGCCUUUUAUGUGGGCGUCCGAAGCCAGCAAAGCCACGUCGGGCCGAGAGGGUCUCCCACCCGAGCCCUUGGGUUAGGGGCAGCGGCGUCCCGGAGCCGCCCCCUCGGCGGAUAGACUCAUCAAUCAAACCGCUCGGGGGUGGGGCGGACGCCUGGCCCCGCCCCCUCUGGCCGGAAGGUUGAGAGUAGUUUACGGUGGUCCAGCUGGGACGGGACCCGGGGGUUUAGUACAGCGGGACUUCAGGAGCAGAGCCGUCGCGUGUGCGUCCCCGUCCGCCUUUAAUUCUACAAGGUGAAGAUUCUUGCAGUAGAAGCCUUUCCUCAGUACACCGUGACCUAGAGACCCGCCACCGCCACGGCCGCCUUCCGGCCUCGGCACCCGCUCGCCCACAGGCUCAGGCUGACCCCGGCGCCGGCGGGACUCAGUGCUGCAGCCCGUGGCGGACGCGGUUCUCGCCGCAGCCCAGCCAGAUUCUCUGAACCGGGAUAGGAAUCAGCGCGGUUUCCUCUUUGCAGGUUCUGAGUAUCAGAUAUGAAAUGUCACUGAGGGCAAGGCUAGUUUAUAGAUUCGCGAACAUUUCGCUGCAGAUUUCUAACUUUCCACGUCGGGAAUACCAAACAGUAAGAUAGCAACGCAGGACUUUUUAUACCACGAUGGACCGAAACGUGGACUUGUCAGUGAAUCACGGUGAUUCUAAGACUGUAAUGGGCUUUAGGCUUUAGAACGCACACUCAGAUUUCCUUGAUUCAAAAGGACUUGUGUUGAAUAAGAAACCACAUAAUACGAAACCACAUUUUAUUUCCUGGCAAAUUUUAUUUAAUAGCUAAUAAAGUAAAUAGAUCCCAGAAUUCACGCAC